UUCUGUCCAGUACGCGAUUGUGCAUCUCGACUUCUUCAUGUAUAUCACCCGUCAAUCUCUUAAGAAUGUUCACUCUAUCUUGCAGCCCAUCAAUAGCUCUAUCAUUUUCAUGCUCAUCAAUUUCAUGAGAGGAAUAGUCUCGGAUGCCACCCUCCACAAGGCCAUCAAAAGAGCAGCUCUGUUGCUUCGAUAAUCUAUAAUCUCUAGCAAAUAAUCAAAAUCACCAUGAAAAGAAAGAUAUUGCUUAUGUGAAAGUAGAGUAAACGAAAUAUACAAUUCCAUCUCAGGAACAAAAUUUUUUAGCUGAGUAGAAAUACAUCGGAUCAUGUCUGCAAAGAGUCUGGAAACCUGUAUAUCACCAAUACUUUGACAGCAAAUUCAUCUAAAUACAGAUAAAAUUGCAAUUUUGAUUUUCAAGGAAUUCAGAUGAAUUAUACUGAUUACAUAUUGUCCCACUGAACCUUAAUGAUUGUAAAUGUUAAUUUGCCCAUAUAUUUUAGUUAGUACAGAUCAAAUUUAAAGCAAUUAGAUCAAUUUUAUAACCUCUAUAUUAAAAAAAAAAGUCCAAGUAUUUAAUUGACACUGUGUUUCAUUAAUAUCUACAUGCAUAUACACACAUUCAGGUAGAGAAAGAUAUAGAUAUCACUUUGUGACCCCCCCUUUUCCUUUCAUUCCCUACUUCUGCCACAAAUGAUCAUUGAAAUCGUAUUGAACUAAAAAAAAAAAAACUACAACAGGGAUGUCAAGCAUCAAAAAUAUGAUUAUGGUUUCUACAGUUUGGCUAUUUUGGUGGUUUUGGCUCCAUUUUUAGCAAUUUUGGUAAAAAAAAAUUAAAGAUCGACUAAAUCAGGAGAAAUAAAGAGGUUAAAAAAAAAGUUAGAGCUCAUUAUAAAGAAUUGUUUCAGACUUUCAGCUGUAUCAUUUUGGUGUUUUUGCAUUGAGACAGUGAAAAAGUAUCUUUUAAAAUUGUUAUAAAUAGCAUAUUUAUAUCACAAUAUAUAUGGACUAUCUAAAUGCAUAUGGAUGCAAUGCAAAAAGCUUUACCUUCUCCUAAAUCUUGCUAAAAUUUAAGGUAGCAGUAUUCCCAGAAUUUCCCAAAACCCACAAUAUAUCAGUUUACUUCACAACUUCAAAGUAAAAAUGCUUCCAAAAAAUUGAAAGAUAUGAAGAAAUGACAAAAAAUUGCCACAGAUAACUCACAUAUAAUGAAUGUGGCCCCACAAGUUAAUUGGUUCAAAACUCCAAGUGUAGCCAUGAUUUGAAUUUAUUCAGGGAUCAGAACAAAAUCAAAAUGUUUUCAUUUCAUUGUGGAGUUCCAACCAAAACUUUGAACCAUAAUGGAAAUAUGUAUGAUAUUCUACUAUUCCAAUACAGAAACAGGCAUGAUACCAAUACCUUAACCUUAUCUAUACCUUAAUGAAAGCUUCCAACAUUAUUUUUUUUAUUUUUCUAACUCACCACAUGCAACAUCCAACUUUGUUGCCCGCAUCAGGUUAGUCCAUUUGUCUUCAAAUUACAAAAUUUGGUGGUAUAAGAACCCAGAAGUUUAAAAUAGAGUUCUUUUACAAAAUCAAUAAGAGGGAAAAAAGAAGAAUAAAUGUUUAAAAGACUUUCACUGAGCAGAAAACUUAGCAAUUUAGCACUACUAUAAUUCAGAUUACAUAUUUAAAAUAUUUCACAAAAUAAAUCAAAUCAUCUAUAAAUAAUUAAAUAUCAAUAACUAGAAAAGACAUAGAAAUCUUGAUGUGUGAAUCCAAAAUCUCAACAAGGUCAAUGACUACCAAAUCCCGAUAAUUGCAAUUUGCAUUUGCGCAUUCGUGCACGCAUGCGAGAGAAAGAGAAAGAGAAAGAGAGAGAGAGAGAGAGAUUGGAGAUGAACCUUCGUGAAUUCAUGAACCCACUAGAUUCAGACCACAGAAAAUUUUGUUCCUUUUUUCCUCUCCUUUUCUCCUUUAAAAUUUUCUUAUAUUUUUGUCAUCCCUGUGCAAAAGCACAGAUGCCUUGUUCCUCCUUUGGCCAGUCCAACAGCUGGAAGGAUAUGCAUUGUUAGUUAUUAAGUGCUCACAAGCGUGAAACUGCAUGUUAAGGAUGCAGUUCUAGAUAGCAAUUCAUUUACUUAAUAAUGUAAAAUGAAAAACAAAAAAAAACACUAUUUUCCUCAAGCCUUCUCUCAUUUUUCCACGGCAUUAAAAAAGAAAUUCCUCCAAAUACAAAGAAAUGGAAUAAUUUAGGUUUGGCAAAAUCCAAUCGUUCAUGUUAUAACACAGGCAAAGAAACCAAGAUACACAAAAGUUUCCAUUGCUGCAGCAUUUCAAACGAAAGAAAAAAAAGAAAAAGAAAAUUUAACUUUGAAUUAAAAAACAAAGCCCAUGUAAGCUCACAUGAAUUCAUAUUCAAGAAGAAAUAUCAUACUAGAAUAGAACAACGUGAAACAAAAUACACACCAAAUAUCAAAAUCCCCACAUCGCAGGUCUAAUUCAAUAAAAAAAAAUACCGAAAAGACGACCUAAUUCAUCCCUAGGUUUUAUAAAACUUCCCUUAAGAAAUCGAAAUCAAUUCCGUAACUUACAAAUCAAUGUUUUUUCACGUAUCAUCAAGAAACAAAGCAAAACGAAUUCCACCAUUCAAAAUCAUAGAUUUCAAUCGUUCAAUUCGGAACGGAAAAUAGAAAGGAAUGAAAAGAAAAAUAAGCCAAAUUUCCAUCAGAAAAGACAUUAAACGACAAAACAGUGUAUCUCUAAGCAUAAAACGAGACAUCACCAGCGAAACCGAGACCGAAACCGAAACCGAAUUCCGCGAUUCCAAAGCGAAAACCCUUCAAUGUACCAUCUAUCACAAUGGAAGACACGAACUUACCUGUGGAUUGGAAUGCUUCGAUCUCCACCGAGGAGGACGCGCGGGGGGUGGGCGUGAAGAGAGCGAGAUAUGGGGUUCGGGUUCGG
rnacentral:lncRNA from 1 species